CACUAGGUUUUUUGGAGGAAACAAUUGAUUGUCGUCAAGAGGCUAAUAAUGCUACAUUGUCGCCAGCUUUCCAAUACUUUCCUUUAAAUUUUCCACUGCAAUUAACAACUGAAAGAGGCGUAAAAAAUAAGGGCUAAAUUUGCAUAAACAAACUACAUAUGAUAAACUAUAACAAAUAUGCAAAAUGAAAUGAAUACAAAAUUAUAUAGAAUUUGACGAGUGGAAAAAAUAAUGAAGUAAUUUGUACCCGCUUGUAUGGUCAUAUAUCAACUAAUAAAAAGAAGAUACGGUAUAUAAAAAGUUGCCUUUUAAUCAAAACAGGGAGUAAUACUUUCGAUUAUGUUUACAAAUUUCCUGACAACAGUCUUGUAAUCUGUUCGCCCAACUGCUUUAAUUAAGGUGCCUCCCACACAAACGUUCAUACUAUUAUUUUCAUAAGUCACCUGGAGUUCUGGAGUUCUUCAUAGUGAAUCCAAAUGUUGUGCAGCCCCUCUAAUGGUUUUCCAGUCUAUGAAUCUACUCCACACAAAGUUUUGUUUCCAACUCUUGGAACACCUCUGGUACAACGGUUGGUAAGCUGCUCUGCACAG